UACAGCCCCUUCCAGCUAGAAGAAGCUAUAGAAGACAAAGACCAGCACUCUCUUAGUACCUGAAAAGGAAUUAUGAGGAUAUGUGUCUCUCAGGGGGAAAUGAGACAGGAGAUUAGGGCAUGGCAGAGCUGGCUGAGGAAGUAGGACAGAAGAAAAUCUAAAACCACCUCCAGAAAGAGAAUUCAGCACCGCAAAGCUCAGUAACAGAAGAAAGCAGAGAAAACAGCCAAAGGUUUCAGUUUUAAAAGCUUAUAGAUAAGUCAAGGAUCCAGCAACCAAACUGCAGAGUGUCCAAGGGGGUAGAAUGAAAACCUCCAGAAUGUCCAUAGAGAAUCUUCUGCAGGCAAACAAAAGGAGAGAAGGUGGAAGAGACUUAAUUCAGCUGUGAAAACGUAAGCAAAGUAAUGAAAGAAGCGAUGUCAUAUGUGUUCCACGUGCAGAGAUAUAGAAGGCAGGAAACUUGGAUUUUGAA